rnacentral:rRNA from 1 species
AGAGUUUGAUAUUGGCUCAGGACGAACGCUGGCGGCGUGCCUAACACAUGCAAGUCGAGCGGAGAUGAUGUGAGGAAGUUUUCGGAUGGAAUCACAUUAUUUUAGCGGCGGACGGGUGAGUAACGCGUGAGCGACCAACCUUGCACAGGGGGAUAACGGACCGAAAGGUUCACUAAUACCGCAUGAGACCACGGUGUUGCAUGACACAGAGGUCAAAGGAGCAAUCCGGUGCAAGACGGGCUCGCGUCCGAUUAGGUAGUUGGAGGGGUAACGGCCCACCAAGCCUAUGAUCGGUAGCCGACCUGAGAGGGUGAUCGGCCACAUUGGAACUGAGACACGGUCCAGACUCCUACGGGAGGCAGCAGUGGGGAAUAUUGCACAAUGGGGGAAACCCUGAUGCAGCAACGCCGCGUGAAUGAUGAAGGCCUUCGGGUCGUAAAGUUCUUUGAUUGGGGACGAUAAUGACGGUACCCAAAAAACAAGCCACGGCUAACUACGUGCCAGCAGCCGCGGUGAUACGUAGGUGGCGAGCGUUGUCCGGAUUUACUGGGCGUAAAGGAUGCGUAGGUGGAAAUUUAAGUGGGAUGUGAAAUCCCCGGGCUCAACCCGGGAACUGCAUUCCAAACUGGAUUUCUAGAGUGCAGGAGAGGAAAGCGGAAUUCCUAGUGUAGCGGUGAAAUGCGUAGAUAUUAGGAAGAACACCAGUGGCGAAGGCGGCUUUCUGGACUGUAACUGACACUGAGGCAUGAAAGCGUGGGGAGCAAACAGGAUUAGAUACCCUGGUAGUCCACGCCGUAAACGAUGGGUACUAGGUGUAGGGGGUAUCAACUCCCCCUGUGCCGUCGUUAACACACUAAGUACCCCGCCUGGGGAGUACGGUCGCAAGAUUAAAACUCAAAGGAAUUGACGGGGGCCCGCACAAGCAGCGGAGCAUGUGGUUUAAUUCGAGGCAACGCGAAGAACCUUACCUAGACUUGACAUCUCCUGAAUUACCCUUAAUCGGGGAAGCCCUUCGGGGCAGGAAGACAGGUGGUGCAUGGUUGUCGUCAGCUCGUGUCGUGAGAUGUUGGGUUAAGUCCCGCAACGAGCGCAACCCUUAUUGUUAGUUGCCAUCAUUUAGUUGGGCACUCUAGCGAGACUGCCGGUGACAAACCGGAGGAAGGUGGGGAUGACGUCAAAUCAUCAUGCCCCUUAUGACCUGGGCUACACACGUGCUACAAUGGGAAGUACAACGAGUCGCGAAGUCGCAAGGCUAAGCUAAUCUCUUAAAGCUUCUCUCAGUUCGGAUUGUAGGCUGCAACUCGCCUACAUGAAGCCGGAAUCGCUAGUAAUCGCGGAUCAGCACGCCGCGGUGAAUACGUUCCCGGGCCUUGUACACACCGCCCGUCACACCACGAAAGUUUGUAACACCCGAAGCCGGUGAGGUGACCUUUUGGAGCCAGCCGUCUAAGGUGGGAUAGAUGAUUGGGGUGAAGUCGUAACAAGGUAACCA